UAGGGAAUCUUCCGCAAUGGACGCAAGUCUGACGGAGCAACGCCGCGUGAGUGAAGAAGGAUUUCGGUUCGUAAAACUCUGUUGUAGAGAAGAACAGCGCAUAGAGUAACUGUUAUGCGUGUGACGGUAUCUAACCAGAAAGCCACGGCUAACUACGUGCCAGCAGCCGCGGUAAUACGUAGGUGGCAAGCGUUGUCCGGAUUUAUUGGGCGUAAAGCGAGCGCAGGCGGUCAAUUAAGUCUGAUGUGAAAGCCCCCGGCUCAACCGGGGAGGGUCAUUGGAAACUGGUUGACUUGAGUGCAGAAGAGGAGAGUGGAAUUCCAUGUGUAGCGGUGAAAUGCGUAGAUAUAUGGAGGAACACCAGUGGCGAAGGCGACUCUCUGGUCUGUAACUGACGCGGAGGUUCGAAAGCGUGGGUAGCAAACAGG
rnacentral:rRNA from 1 species